rnacentral:ncRNA from 1 species
CAUUAAAAGCGCCAGAACUCAGAGAGAAGAGUUGACGAGGAUAGGGAGUAUCGAAAUUAUUCGGCGGAUGCCCUACGGUAUAAACACUAUCGUAAGAAAUUGAUUAAAGCUAAAAAGUGAUUUUUAGUACAAAGUUGAUUUU